CGGCCAUGGCGUCGACGAUCCAGUCCUUGAAGGCCCACCAGAUCUUCGACAGCCGCGGCAACCCCGCCGUCGAGGUUGAUGUGUGCUGCUCAGAUGGAACCUUCGCCAGGGCCGCUGUUCCCAGCGGUGCAUCAACUGGUGUCUAUGAAGCUUCGGAGCUGAGGGACGGUGGAUCUGACUACUUGGGCAAGGGUGUUUCCAAGGUUUACAUUUGUUUCACCGAAUUUUAUCUUCACAGUCUGUAAAUCUAUGUU